UCCAUCUCCGAUCCGGUAUCGGAGUAUGA
rnacentral:sRNA from 1 species